AACGCGAAGAACCUUACCUGGGCUCGAACGGCUUUGGAUCGACGGUGGAAACACUGUUUUCCCGCAAGGGACCGGAGUCGAGGUGCUGCAUGGCUGUCGUCAGCUCGUGUCGUGAGAUGUUGGGUUAAGUCCCGCAACGAGCGCAACCCUUGUCCUGUGUUGCCACUCCGUAAGGAAGCACUCUCAGGAGACCGCCAGCGAUAAGUUGGAGGAAGGUGGGGAUGAUGUCAAGUCAUCAUGGCCUUUAUGUCCAGGGCUACACACGUGCUACAAUGGUCGGUACAAAGCGCUGCAAACCCGCGAGGGGGAGCUAAUCGCAAAAAGCCGGCCUCAGUUCGGAUUGCAGGCUGCAACUCGCCUGCAUGAAGCUGGAAUCGCUAGUAAUGCCGUAUCAGAAUGAUGGCGUGAAUACGUUCCCGGGCCUUGUA
rnacentral:rRNA from 1 species